rnacentral:misc_RNA from 1 species
GAUGAAGAACGCAGCGAAAUGCGAUAAGUAAUGUGAAUUGCAGAAUUCAGUGAAUCAUCGAAUCUUUGAACGCACAUUGCGCCCGCCAGCAUUCUGGCGGGCAUGCCUGUUCGAGCGUCAUUUCAACCCUCGAGCCCCCCCGGGGGCCUCGGUGUUGGGGGACGGCACACCAGCCGCCCCCGAAAUGCAGUGGCGACCCCGCCGCAGCCUCCCCUGCGUAGUAGCACACACCUCGCACCGGAGCGCGGAGGCGGUCACGCCGUAAAACGCCCAACUUUCUGAACGUUGACCUCGGAUCAGGUAGGAAUACCCGCUGAACUUAAGCAUAUCAAUAAGCGGAGGA